GAGAGAGAGAGAGAGAGAGAGAGAGAGAGAGAGAGAGAGAGAGAGGUACUUGGCGCAGGGGAAAGGGUGGUGUCUCUCCCUGCACGAAGGGGUUAGGGUUAGGGUUAGGGUUAGUGAAGAGCGGGAGAGGGGAUGGAGAUUGGAGAGAGAGAGAGAGAGAGAGAGAUUUCGGUGGACCGGGUCUUAAUACUGGGCUUUGAACACCGAGUGUGUUUCCGUGGACCAGGUCUUAAAACUGGGCUUCGAAAGUUUCUCAGGGAAUUAGUAUUUGAAGCCCAUUAGGCCCUCUCCUGGCUCAGCCCUGGCCCAUUUAAUAAAAAAAAUACGUGCACCUGAUGCAUCAUUAUAAUACGUGCACGGUGCACCGCACCAUCUUAUACGCCCAUCGUAUCACUUCUUCUUUUCUUUUUUUUGAGAGAGAUAGGUAGCACCCUACCCGCUUCGUUUAUUUUAUUCAGAAAUAAAUUUAGCUGAAAAUGUGAACCAACUAGGAUUCGAACCUUGGAUCUCGGGUACCAAUCACCAAGCCCUUUGCCACUUGCUUUAGGGAUGGUCGGUGCCCAUCGUAUCACAUGCUUCAAACUUCAGUACGGUGACACCUCUUUGAGCAUAUGCUAGGGAUGUCGAUUGAUAUGGAUAUCCGAAAUUUAAUUAGAAUUCGAAACCAUUAGAAGCGGGUUUAGUAGAUACUAAACAGGUAAGAUCAAUACUAAAUAGUAGACCUCGCAAAUGGGUGGACUGAAUAAUCCACGCGCAGAUCAUUGUUCCGCAAGUCAUUUAGGAAUGGAUAAAUUUUAUCCGUAAAUUUUUAGUUGGUUAACAUCUUAACCAAUACCCUCACUAGUGGGCGAGCAGGUAUGCGGGUUACUACAAUUUUUUUUACCUUUUUUUGCUUUUAUACUUUUUCAAAUGCAAAAAACAAAUAUAAUUUUUAAAAAUAUAAUAUAACUUAUUGAUUGAAAUAUCAUAACAUACAAUAAACAAUAUAAAAUCUUAAAAUGCAUAAACUAUAUAAUCUAAGAGUAAUUUUUCAUUCACAAUUUUUGUAACCACAAUUUUUGUAAUAUAAAAUUAAUAAAUUUUUCAUAAUUAUAAAGUCAAUAUCGUAAAGUUUAUAUACUUUUUAAUUAAAAAAAAUGCGGGUAUCCGUGAAUAUAUAUUUUUUAAUUAAAAAAAAUAUGCGGAUAUCCGUGAAUAUCCGCGGGUUGUCUAAAAUGUUCAUAACUUAAUGGAUAUCUAUUCAUUUAACCCAUAAAUUUUUGGAUGAGAAAAGUUAGCAACCGUACCUGUAAAUUUGCGGAUAACCUGCAGGUAUCUGCGGAUAUGGGUAGAGUUUGUCAGGUGUCUCAAUAGAUAAAAUAAAAAUUUAAUAGAUUUGGAUUUUGUUAUAAUGUUUGUUUGUACUCCAAUCGAACCCGAGCCCGAAAUUAAGACUUGUGUGAAAACCUAUUAUAUAUAAAAUGGUAUUUUUAGACAUUUAUUUUAACUAUUAGUAUAUGUUAAUGAUUUAAUUUUAUGUUUGGGAUGGUAAAUAAUCGGUUUCAAUUUCUCAGUUUUGGGUGUGGAUUUUUGGCUUUUAUUCCAGUUCUUUAUGGGGUUUGAAUUUUUGUUACCGUAGAAUUCGGGUACCGUUUCAAAUUUUAAUAUUUUAUGCAGAUUCGAUUUUGAAUUUUGCAAAACAUGAUUCGAAACUGACAAGUUAACAUCGCUAGUAUAUGUGUAUCCUUUUUCUUGCUUUUAAGGUCAAAGUGAGGUUCUUGCUGUUGACCCUCAUUAACUUUAUCUCUAUCCAAAAAUUAUAAUUUUUUCUGGAUAGAUUAUAAUUUUUUUAAAGAAAGUUAAUUUUUUAAAUUUCUAGUAUUAAAAUUUACCCAAUGAACCAUUGGAUUGUAACAAGGAGAAUAAUAAAAAAAUAAAAACACUACGUUGUUUUCUUAUACAUACAAGCCAAAAAAGGAAAGAUUCUGAGAAGAAAAUAAGUGUCACCAUAUGCGCUACAUGCGUUCACGUAUCAUUCGAUAAAAAAAGGCAUCUCUACAGAGAGAAACGAAAUAAUUUUCUUACUUCUAAACAUCUUUAGACACAUAUGACUAGUGAAACGCAGCCAAACUAUUUUGUAAACAUUAUUAAAGCAUACCAAAACAUAAACACACACAGCAGAAAUAGUUUAUUGAUUAGCCAAAUCCCAAUUAAACUCUGAUCACUUUAAAGAGAGAUCUCAAACAAAAAUGUAGGCCACAGACCCACACUGUUAAGUUUUAGACACCACUGUUUCACACUUCAACAACAAAAAUUUAUUCCGAUGGCUCGCGAACAUUAAACUCCUGAAGACGCAAGCCAUAACUUAAAACUUUGCAAAAGAAAUCUGAACUGUCUACUUGGUGCUGUUCAUGUGGCGGAUGAGGUCGACAACACGCGAGCUGCAAAAAUAGGAUAAAACAAAACAAAAACAAAAGAAGGCCAAAUUAGCAAAUAACAUGUUUAGGAUCCUGAUAUAUUUUUUACAACAUAAUUAGAAACAGAAACUGACCUGUAACCCCACUCGUUGUCAUACCAAGACACAAACUUGACGAAGUUGUCGUUCAGGGCAAUACCAGCCUUGGCAUCAAAAAUGCUUGACCUGUUGUAUCAGGAAUGUAAACGCUGAAUAGUUAGGCCAUAAAUUGGUGAAUGACUAUAAAUAUAUGGGACAAACCAGCAACACCACUCAGAGGUGGGAAUCACACGGGUAACAUCAUGGACAAUAAUUGGUAUUACCUGCUAUCACCGACAAAAUCUGAGGAAACCAAGUCCUCAUCUACAUAACCCAAGAUGCCUUUGAGAUUACCCUCAGACUCUUCCCUGUGUUAGCACAAAAAAGAAAGGGAAAGAAGAAAAGAAAAGAAAAGAAAAGAAAGACAUAAAUACAAGAUUUAAAAAGAAGGGAAAAAAGAACAAUUGAUCAAUCAAUGAGCUAGUCCAGAUCCGUGCUAAAGUAUUUUACGAGCUUCACUUAAGCUUAUUAAUCGAGCAAGUUCAUCAACAAAAAGGAGUUUAUUUAACACGUCACUCGCUUCUAACAUAAAUUGCACAUCCUUCAUAGGUUGGCACUUUGUUAAAUAACAGGUAACUAACAUGAAAGACGAAUAAAAAUCAAACAAUUAGCUGCUGACUUACUUGAUUGCAGCCUUGAUCUGGUCAUAGCUGGCAGCCUUCUCAAGCCUAACGGUGAGAUCCACAACUGAAACAUCCACUGUUGGAACUCGGAAAGCCAUACCGGUCAGUUUCCCAUUCAAUGCAGGGAGCACCUUCCCAACAGCCUAUGCAAUUUAAAAUCAUCAAAAAGUUACUUUAGAAGUUGAUUCAAAAUAAAAUUGGCAUAGCAAUAAUUAACCACGGAGAGAGCAAAAUAUUCCGAGUCAAGGAAUCAACGGCCAAGCAGAAAGGAGAGUAGUUGGAAGGCCUUUAAGACCUUUCUAACUCCACCAACCAUUCAAAGAGAUAUUAAAUACUCCGCCUUAAGAAAAAAAGGACAGAAGAAAACCUUUGCUUCGCAAUUAUAUAUAUUCUUACGAUGACUGAGAACAACCCAUUACAAACAGAGAAAUCCAUCAUAUCAAGAUGACACCAUCAUCAACUAAAAUAAGCCAAUAUACACAUUUAGAAGGCAAAAAUGCAGGUAGAUACACAUUCUUUUUCAUCAAUGGAUGCUUUUCUUGUUUGCACCUACACAAAUCUGGUGCAAGCAAAGAAAAGUAAAAAAGAACAGUUUAGAUGUUAGUCAAAUUUGGCAACAAGGCUGCACGUGAAAUACUCCAAAUUUUUAUUACCUAGCAUAUAUUAAGGGAGAUGACCAGUAGUCGUUUAAUUCAGUAGAAAAAGAUGUUCAACAAUUCUCAACCUAAUGUAAGAAUGAUCAACACACAGACUAGUAUAAUCCAUGAAAACAAAAAAUAUAUUCGUAGCCGACAAUGGAGCGUCAUAACAUAAAUAUGUAGUAUACCUUGGCAGCUCCAGUGCUGCUGGGAAUGAUGUUAAAGCUAGCAGCUCUUCCACCUCUCCAGUCCUUGCUUGAUGGACCAUCAACAGUCUUCUGUGUAGCUGAGGAAAAUUAUUAAAGGUUCAUCAGCACAUCUUCAUCAUAAAUGCGCAGAGCAAGUUCAGACACAAAAAUAAAUAGUCACCUGUAAUAGAGUGCACUGUGGUCAUUAAGCCCUCAAUAAUACCAAACCUAUCAUGGAUGACCUGCCAAACAGUUUGCAAGCAUUAAUAUCUAUCUCCCAUAAUCUUUUUAUUAUGUAACUAUGAGGAGAUAAUAUAGAAACCACAAUACCUUAGCUAGAGGUGCCAAACAGUUAGUGGUGCAGCUAGCAUUGGAGACAAUGUCAAUGUCAGGCUUGUAUUCCUUCUCAUUCACACCAACAACAAACAUCGGGGCAUCCUUACUAGGAGCAGAAAUGAUGACCUUCUUCGCGCCACCCUUUUGUCAUAGAUCAUAAAAAAUCAAGUUAAUAUACAUAUAUAUAAACAUAAUGCGACAUACAAAAGAAAGUAUAGCAGACCAUUAAGAGACCAGAGAACACAUUUUUACAAGAAAUAUUGCUUUUUCCAGAACGGUCUGUUUAAGUAUCAUUUCCUAGUGCAAAGAAUAUUCAGUUAUCAAAAUUUAGGAAGUGGUCGAUACCAUAUAAUGCAAAGAAUUAUUACUCCUUUUCUAUUUCCUAUUAUUCUCACUUCGAUAUCACAUAUCACCAAGUAAAAUUGCAGCUAAUAACCCACUGAUAUUCUUCAAAGCUGCUUCAGAGAAGGCUGAAUAUUUGAUAGAUGCUACAUCCAUCAAGCCUUCUCUAGUAUAUAUGAGCUAAAUAAGAUGAUGUUACAGAAUGAUGAAACUAUACAGGAGGAAAUUACCUUCAGAUGAGCAGCAGCCUUGUCCUUGUCAGUGAAGACACCAGUUGACUCCACAACAUACUCAGCACCGGCCUCACCCCAGGGGAUCUCCUCAGGGUUCCUUGAUAAAGAAAUUCUCAGGUCAGAUCUCUAAAGCGAAUUAAUGAGUUGCUGGGCAAGAAAAUGUCCAACAAAUUACCUGAUUCCAAAAACAGUGACUGCCUUCUCGCCAAAGAGAAGGGUCUUAGAAUCCUUCACCUUAAUAUCAUGGUGCUUCCACUGUCCGUGCACGGUAUCAUACUUGAACAUGUAUGUCUGCAAGCAAUUACCGAAAUAACAAUAUGCUAAAUUAAUAUUAACACCAAUAGAAAUCAUUGGUAAAAUUUACAUAAACAAUUUAUGGGGUCAAGAAGAUUCUGAUGUUCAGCAGAUCUUAACAGAAUGUGAAUUUAGUUAUGCAAAUCUCAACUGCAAAGCAUCAAUUGGAACACAGGCGCUACAGAAGCAGUUACUUCAUGUUAUAGGCAAAAAGAAUAGAUGCAAUUGGCCAACUAAGAGGAAAAGGGAAUCAGCCCAAGCAAAUAGAUGGUCGCUGUCAACACUAAAUCUCAACAUUAUCAUCUUGCAAUACCACAAGGCAAAAAAAAAAAAAAGUUUUUAUUGGCUGAUAUUAUAUAAGAUUAGAUGUAUGAUACAAUUCUUACAUCACACAAUACAUUAAAAAAAGGGGUCAACAUAAGGCAUCUUUUCUCCAUUAUGGCCCAGCAGCCAAUUAUAUCUAACAAAUUUCAUAAACAAACUAACCAUACGUCCCUACAUAUCAUCACUUACUUCAUAGGAGACUCAAGAGAAACAUCAUGACAGGAGUUAACAGUAUUGUAAAUUCGCUUCUGAAUCGCUUUUGAAUAGCACUGACAUAUACAUGACACCUUACCCGUUAAUGCAAAUUACAGAACCAAGAAUCAGAUUUGUAUAAACUAAAAAACUUAGAAACAUUGCUUUACUAGAGAUGAAGAUCUGGUAACUAAUAAAUUCAGAUAGGCGGCCAAUCUAAUGUGAUAAAGCAGCACGAGCAUACAACAACAGUUGCCACAGAUAUUUUACCCCGCUAAAUCACAACAUCUUAGCGAUAUGAUCUAGGGACUUACAAGAAAUGGUCGGAGAAUAAUUUAGCCUUUUCAAAAAGUUAAAUAUAUACAUCAAAAAGAAAAAAAAUAAAAGGUCCCACAUAAUAGAGUUGCAACUAUUCAACAAAACCACUAGACCGCUAAACCAUUAAAAUUUAAAGGUAGAUGAGGUAAUUUGAGAUCGCUAGUAAAAAGCUAACAGAGUCGCUAUAUCAAAAAGAUCGAGGCAAUGACACAACCAGCCACAAAUUAACACAACAUUUUCCGAUCAUUCCUCGCUACUCUAUCAUAGUAAGAUCCAGAUCUACAUCGAUCCAAGGCGCAACACGAUAUAUAAAUAAAUCCGCCGCAUACCGAUUAAUCAUAAAAUAUGCAUCAAAGACUACAAACCAGAACAUCUUAGAUCGGAUCUGAGGACAACAAUACCAUGUAAUCAGUGGUGAUGAAGGGAUCAUUGACGGCGACGAGCUCCACAUCAUCGCUCUGGAGAGCAACUCUAGCCACCAAACGUCCGAUCCUUCCAAAUCCUUAUAAAAACAAUACAAAAUCAUCAAAAUCAAAAUAGAUCAAAAAAACCGAAAAAACCUCAGAUCAACUUGUGAAUCAAAGCCGAUCUGGAACCUACCGUUGAUCCCGAUCUUAAUCUUCCCUGAAAAAUCAAAAAGAAAAACAGAAAAAAAAAAAAAACAAAAAUCAUAAGAUCAGUACACAGAUCGAAGAGAAAGAAGAGAAAGAGGAGGCGAGAGAGUAAUCUGAGGAGGGUUUUACCCAUGGCGAUCGACGGAGGCAAAAUGAGAUAAAGAUAUCUGAGACGAAAAUGGAGAUGGAGAAUACAGAGAGAAGCAAGAUCACUGAGGUGUGGCGAGGAUUAAUAUAACGAGAGGUAUUGUUACGAUGAGCUCGAGGCGCACUGUAGUGUUACCCGGUUCUCAUUUGAGGCAGCGCCUUUCACCGUAUCUCGUCCGUUCGUUCUGGGAAAGUAGACAGAUUCUUACGGCUGAAUACGCGCCACGCGUCAGUCUCGUGUUCGCUGUUGCGUGAAUUUCGGAACAAAAUUUUUGGCUGCACAGGGUGUACAAGUGCGUCCUUCUAUACGCAGCGCCCAUAAAUUUCAAUAAUUUACUAACAAGGUUUUAUGACAUUUUAUUAAAGAUUUGUAUACCUAAAUUUCUAAAUUUUGAACGUAUAAUCAAAUCUACCUAUUUAUUACUAUAUAUAAAAGUAGAACACUUAAUAAAUCCUAUAUGAAAAGUUGACACGUGAUUUUCUAUAUGCUUCUCAAAUAUGAAUAUUUGGUUGCGAAUUAUUUAAUAUAAUUAUAGAUAUAUCUUUUCAAUAUUUAUAUAUUUUUUUCAGUUAGCUGCUGAUCUAUACUACUUAUAAAAACGUUAGUUUUGAAUUUUUCCCUUUUCUCAAAAUACCGGUCCCUAUUAAUAUAAUAUUUUUCGCAUAUAUAAUAUUNUUGUGUCAAAUAUGAAAGUUUAGUUGAUCUCAUUAUAUGCUUAAAUAUUAAUGUCAUUUGUAAUUUUUCAUAUCAAUUUUAGUUAUCAUUUUAUUUCGCACAUCAAUAUGUAAAUGUAAAUUAUUUUGCAUACCAAUUCAUAAAUAAUAGAGCAUGAUUGAAUUUUGCAUUUUAGUUGAAUAUUUAAUUUGGUCCAAAUUUUUUUUUCUCUAGCUUGUAUACUUUAAUAUAUACUAUAAUUAAGAUUGAUAGUAUAUUUUUUUAUUUGUUAAAAAAUAUAUAAUUAAUUAGAAAUUUUUUUUGUUACAUAAUAAUUUUUAUUAUUUUAUAUUAUUGUAUUAGCCGUACAUCGCACGGAUGAAAAUCUAGUUAUGACUCAUUAUUUAUUGUUAACUUUUAUGAAUGGAAUUUAAAAUAUAUAUAUAUAUAUAUAUGACUAUACAUAUUAUAGGGCGAGGUGCAUGAGUGUACGUAUACACGCGGUGUAGGGAAUAUAAUUUAGUGAUUGGUGUCACGAGGACGGCCGGAAUUCGAGGGGCGGCGGAGUUUUCUAGAUGGUUCCUUCCGCUGGAUUUCGAACCGUUGCUGGAUUUGGAUUUUGAUUCGGAUUCGGAUUCGGAUUCGGAUCCGGGCCCGCAGAGAGAGAGGGUGUGUUUCUUGGCGCCCAAGGAAAUGGAUUGGUGGAUUUGAGUGUAACGGUCGUAUAUCACGGUUUUGAUUAUGACACGUGGGGCCCGCCGCACACGUUGGUCGCAUGGGAUCGCGGAGUCGCAGCGCAGCCGCACGAUCUUGAACGGCCGGUGGAAAAGCGAUGGACGGGUACGGUAGUGAAGGUUUGAAUAUGUGCAUAUUGGCUACAAUUUAUGCACAAAAAAUCAAAGUACGGAAUAAUUUUGUCGCUCAAUAGCAGUACAAUAUAAUUGAACGAACUAGAAUGGAAUACUAUCAAUAACAUCAAACUAUUUAUACUAUUAAUUUUUUAGCCUUUAAAUUAAGAAAUAAAUAAUUAGAAUGAUAUAGACCUCUAAGAUUGAGUCGAUGGUUGGUUGAAUAAUAUAAUCUAAUAAUCAAAGGAUUAAAUCUAACGAUGGAAAACUCGAUAGCACCAAAUGCUUGAUGCUAUCGAUAGUACUUCAGUCGGACUCAUAAUUGAAUUAUAUAAAUAUUUAUUAUAGAGUAAUUCAGAUUAAUUUUAUUAUUUAUUUUGUUAAAAUAAGCAGUAAAAUUGUCUCGUGCAUAACGUGCAUGAUAAUGAAAAAUUAGUGCCUAUACAAAUUUUUAUACCCAAACCCCAUAGUAUUGGUUUAUCGUGGAUAAACAGUCACUAACUGAAAUCAAAUGAUUCCAAAUUUAUAGAUUAUAAUUCAAAUUUACGAAAAGCAUAUCUUUUUACGCAUCUCUCCUAAUAAAUAUUAUGUUCCUUGACAAUAUAUCAUUUAACAAGCAAAUAUGUUACUAACAAAUUUACAAAUUUAAGCAAUUAAUCCUUCUAUAGGAAAAAAAAAUUUGAGGCUCAGUUACUCUUGUGUAGUUAACUUUAGCAAUAUUUUGUGGUAGGAUUUAGAAUUUGAAAUUGCCGACUAAUUCCCUAAUUAAUGUAUCAAAUCUGGAAGUUUUAAAUUACCAAAUUCAUUUGAUUCCUUUCCCCAAAACAAAAAUAAAAAGAAAAUAAAAAGAAAAUUCCUUCUAGAAGUUCAAAAUCGGAGGGGGAAAAAUCCCAAGUUCUGCACGGCACCACCACCCACGCAUUAGUCAAAGUCAGAAGCAAACCUUUAAUUGGUUUCAAGAUGGAAAACGCAAAACUUAAAUUAUUGUCAGUGUUUAAUAUAAUUGGCUAAUACAAUUGGUUUAAGAUUCAAAUCUAGUUAUUUCAUAUUUUCAGCAAAAUCUCGUUGCGUAUUUGAUUGCAACACUUGCAAAAAAAAAAUUAAACGUAGUAAUAAAACAAAUCUAACUUAAAAUAUAAAAGUAUAAUCCAUCCAAGUACGUAAAAGAUAAAAAAAGAACCGUUUGAAUUGGAGACACACGUAGAUAAAUAGUAUGUAAAUUUUUUGCAAACCCUGUGCGUAUUGAAUGCAUCUGAGUCAUCUAAUAUGGACGAACUAAAUUGUGUUAUUCAGUGCAAUAAUUUAGGAGCCAUCCUUGAAUAUGUUAGGAUUUAGUUAGAUUUGUAGUUGAAUCCUAUUUAGAUAAGAAUUAAUAUUUAAAUUUGUUUGAGAUAAAUUAAGAUUUAAAUAUUAAUUAGAGGAUAAACCUAACUAGAUUAGGAUUAAUAUUUAAAUCUAUUAGAGAUUAAUUAAGAUAGAUUUAGAUAUUAAUUGGAGUAGAAAUCCUAAAUAUAUUAGGAUUGGGGUACGUUUUAGUGGAGCCUUAUAAAUAGCUCUUUGUGGGUUUGUUUUUGAGGUGAGUACGGGAGAGAGAGAGAGAGAAAAGGCCUCUUGGGUGUCGUACCAGAGAGAGAAAAAGAGAGAGAGAGAGAGUUAUUUAGUACACCUAGUGCAUGGGUGCGCGCGGAUGAUUGUCUUCUUUAUGGGUUUAAAGAAGACGAGAGAAGGGUAGAAGAGAUUCAGAAAGAGGGCUCGGGUUGUAGCUACUCUGUGCAGAAGAGGAGUCAGGUGUAAUAUUCUCUUAUUUAAUGAAUCUUAUUUUACCCGCAUAUUUUCUGUUUUGGUAUUUCUCUCUUUUAUGAUUGAAUCAGCAUCUGCUGAGGAGACGGGUUUAUGGUAAAAACCCGAUUUGACGUUUCCGUUGCGGAAUCCCAACAAUCGAUACCGGAUCCACAGCAGUCGGUAUCGGAGCGGGUUGCGGAUUCACGAGAUCCGGUACCGGGGCGAGUACCGGAUUCCCAACAGAAUAAUCUCUUUCAAACGCUACGGUGUGAAACUGAGACUUUAUAUGUGUUCAACAUUAUUGUCUAAAAUAAAUAAAUAGAUAGCUGAGUUUUUGGUGCUUUUUUUUCUCCACAAGAAGCAAAUCACAGUUUUAUUGAAGCCUGCGUUUUCUCUUCUUCUGCAUCACCACAUCUAAUGGCUUCUUCCACCCUCAACAGAUGGUUGAGGCCCGAGGUUUUUUUUUUUUCGAUUUCCCUCUCUUUUAAUUUUGAUUUGAUCUCUUUUUCUUACUAAUUAUGUGAAUUUAUUUACUAAUCUCGAACUGCAUGAAAACAAAAUGACUCAAAUAUUCAAUUGAAGUUAUUCAGAUGAUCGAUCGCUAUAAUACAAAGUUAAUAUAAAGUUCUUUUAACCUUCUCAAAAUUAUCUGUAAUUGUGCAAACCUUCUUGAUUUUUUUGUUUUUCAAUUUUUUUUAUACACGCAAGAGUUUAUUAUUUUUUUGAGAGAUAUGUAAUACGCUACCCGCUUCGUUUAUUUUAUUUGAAAAUAAACUUAGCUGGAAAUGUGAAUUAAUUAGGAUUCGAACUUGGAUCUCGGGUACCAACCACCAAGUCCUUUGCCACACGUAAGAGUUUAUUAUUGUUCUCAAAGAAGUUGAUAAUUUUGGCGCAGGUGUAUCCUUUGUUCGCGGCUGUUGGUGUAGCUGUUGGGAUAUGUGGCAUGCAACUGAUCAGGAAUAUCUCCACAAAUCCUGAAGUGAGGUAUAUUGACUUCAUAUGAGUUUGCGUACGACAAUAGUUACAUCUUAAAAUUGCAUCAAAUUGGUUCGAAUUGAACAUUGUUGGUGUCUAAACCAUGAGCAUGAUAUGAUUCCAAAAUUUCAGCAAAACCAAAUAGUUCUCGGAAUUGUUCGAAUACACCGUGUCUGAGAUUCGAGUGCGACAGGCGCACGAAAUGUAGUUGACCGAGUGCUUAUUUUGGUUCAAUUCUGAAUCAAACUUUUCAAUUGUACAACGUAAAAGGUUCUAAAAGAGAAAGUUGUAAAUAUCUCCGCUAUUCCGCCAAAUGUUCUUUACUUGGAAUUAAAUAGAGAAGAUGUAGAGGUUUGCUUUUACUGCAGCUAACACUUCGAAUAAAAGUUCUCUAAAAUUCUCUACACCCUUGGAAGCUUCAUUCUUAGUCAUUUGGACUAUAGUUGUGUGGCUUUUGCCUUGGUUUUAUGAUAUAUUUAUCGUCGCAAAUUAAUUGAAUUGUUGUAUUCAUCCUUGUUUAUCUCUACCAUAGUUGGCAUAUCUAGUAACUCCUACUUGAUACUGGCAAAUAAAGAAGGAAAGAAACACUAAACUCCGCAAUUUAAAUUACAAAUUGCUGUGUAAUUUUAAUUGUGUGCAGAGUCAAUAAGCAGAAUAGAGCUGCAGGAGUGCUCGACAACUUCGACGAGGGAGAGAGAUACGCGGAACACGGGGUUCGGAAGUUCCUCCGCAACAAAACCCCGCAGAUCAUGCCGUCGAUCAACAAGUUCUUCUCGGAUCCAAACUGAUAGAUCAUCGGCGAUUCUCGAGUUCGCUUUUCACAAUUAUUUUUUGAGUGUUGCUCUCUUAUUGCUGCAUUAAGAAGAGCUUGUAAUUGCCAUUCUAUUCUGGAAUAAAAAUUACAGUAAAUCAUUCAUGGAGAAUAACAGAGGGUUGUAGAACUCUGCGGAAAUAUAAAACAUGUUUUGAUUGAACUAUUAUGAUGCGUAAGGUUUUUUUUUUUUUUUUUUUGAGAACAAAUGUAUUCUAAAAAAAGUAUCAUUAAUAUCUAAUUCUCCGUUUGUGAGUACUACGGAAUUUUCCUAAUAUCAUUAAAUCUGAUGUUUGGAUCUUAUUCUCAACUUUUUUUAUAAAUUCCAUUAGAGAGAUUCUAAGCGGAGUUGGCGUGAAUAAAAAACAUGACUGAACUUGAUCGGCAGUAACACCAGAUUGAACCAAAACUUAUUAACUUUUUAGCUGAAAAACUGAGCCACUAACUAUUUGAGCAAAUCAAUGCAUAUUGAUUUUUUAGAAAUACAAUGUAUGUAUGUUACAGAAUGGUUCGAUGACGGAAUAGGUUCUCAAAGUUGAACCGGAAUUAAAAAUCCAAUUAACUACGGGAUCUGAUUUGAAUUCUGAUACUAAUAACGGGUUAUCGGGUUCUACGAGCACCCCAACGAGAUCCGCUAUACAAGUGCUAGUGGGUGGGCCCCAUCUCAAUUUCGACCGUUGGAUGGCAUACCAGUUUUUAAAAACCUGGAGCGACCUUUGCGCCCUCUCAAGUCUCACCCCAAAUCUCAAACGAAACAAAAAAGAAAAAAGAAAAAACUAGCCGUUAAACCUCCCCCCUCUCAAAUUUCUCCAUUUUUUCUUUUUGUUGCUGUUUUUUGCUUCAAAAUUCUCCUUCAGAUCGCUUCUUUGGAACCCCGUUCGGCGCCUUCGGAUCGAGAAAGAAGGAUCAAAUGGCUUCUAGAACCAUCUCCAAGGACAUCAUCACCCUCAAGGGCUCCGCCGCAAUCGUCGGCGAGUUCUUCGGUAUCAUGAUCUACCCAUUCCUCUUUUUUUUUUAAAAAAAAAAUCCUCCUGAUUUCUUCAUUUUUUGAUCUCUUUGCGCCCGUGUCGUGUUCGCUCUUUUGCCGCACUCGCAGGCUACGCUGCAAACAGGUGAGAGAUUGCCUUCUCCUUCUUCUUCGCAUUUCUUGAAUUGGUUUGGAUUCGGAGACAUGUUGCUAACAUGUGUAAGAUUUGAUCUGCAGCAUACUAUACAAUCGCGGCGUCUACCCCGAGGAAAGCUUUGCGAAGGUGAAGAAGUACGGGCUCACUAUGCUGCUGACGCAGGACGACGGCGUCAAAUCGUUCAUCGCGAGCCUAACUUCUCAAUUAUCAGGUCACAUUCUUGUUUUCGAAACUUACUGUCAACAAUAUUUUUUUAGUAUUCUGAAUCUCUGGCAGUGUUGAUUUUUGUUCCUAUUGUCGAUAGAAUGGUUGGAAUCUGGGAAGCUGCAGAGGGUUGUUCUUGUGAUAAUGAGUAAGGCGACCUCGGAGGUUCUCGAGCGGUGGAACUUCAACAUCGAAACCGACGCCGAGGUUGUCGAGAAAGGGUGAGUUGUUGUAAACACUGAACAGUAAGGAAGAACACAGAAAGAGUUGAAAGGGCGGCCGCGGAGGGGUCGGAUUCCUGAAGUAUGUUAAUAAUAGUGUUUGUUUGUGUGUGUGUGAUUGUUCUCAGGGUCAUAAGGGAGAAGAGUGAUAAAGAAAUCAUGAGGGAGAUCCAAGCGAUCAUGCGUCAGAUCGCCUCCUGCAUCACCUACCUGCCCUGUCUUGAUGAACCUUGUGAGUCAUUUCCUUACCCUUUUAUCUUCACUUGUUUAAUUGAGAAAGAUUGGUAAAGUUGAGUUAAGAUAGUGAAUAGGGCCGUUCCCAUUCCUAGGGAGUCUUGCGCCGUUUUUGCUUAGAGUUUAUGUAGAAGUGCUUUUUAAGUAGUUUAUCUGAAGCAAAAGCAAAAACUCUGAAAUAGAGCCGCGGUACAGUUUAGUUCUCCACAAUGACAAAAGCUUAAGGCAAUCGAUUAGCCAAACAUCUUGUUUUUUGAAGCUUCGAUUUUUGGAGAGGAGAAAAGUUAUUCCAUAAGCCAGACCAAAAGCACUUGUUCAUUUAUCUCUUUUUUUUCCCCCUUAUUUUCCAGGAAUUUUUCACUGUAAUGGGCAAUAAUGGCUAUAAUAUUUUUUUUUUUCUAGGUGUGUUUGAUGUUUUAGCCUACACUGAUAAAGAUGUUGCUGUUCCAUUUACUUGGAUUGAGAGCGACGCCAAACUGAUACAGAAUCCCCAGAUGGUUAAACUGCAUUCUUUCGACACCAAGGUAAUUAAACAAUCUAUAAUUCUUAUUAGAGUAAACUCAGUCAUCUAUUUUUCGCUAAAAUUGUUGAUCACUUGCCUUUGUUCCAAGCUAAACUCUCUCUCUCGCUUUACAUGGAAUGAUGCAGAUACAUAAAGUGGAUACCCUGGUUUCAUACAAGAACGAUGAAUGGGACGAGCAGUAGCCGCUGUUCUCGAAGCUCAUAAGUGGCUGUGAACCGUUCAUUCACAUUGAGGCAUGUGUGUUAGGGAGAUUAUCGGCCGUUGAAUGGCAUCUUGUGCUGAAAUGUGAGAACAAUCAUUUAGAUUGGUUCAAUUUUAUGUGUUGAAUGUUUUUGGUUCUACGAAAUUACCACAGCUUUUUAGAACUUAAAUCUCUGAUGAAGGAAUCGAUAUGCAGUAGACAAAUCGUUCACAAGAGAAUGCUUCUCGAACUAUCUGUAGGAGUAGAAGAAGUAGAACGAAUUGUUCGUCGUGUUCAUUGAUGAUGACCAAGAAAUCGUAGCAUGUCCUGACGCAGUUCUAUUUGCAAAAUGGAAGGUGCACCCUCUCUCAGGGGAUGUUUAUGUCAAUUUCAAAUUAUGUACUCAAUACUGAUACUGGGGGUAAAUUGCACCAGGUGAAUUCAACCUUCCAGCAAAAGUAUCAUGUCUUGCAUUGAAAUUUUCUAUCAAAUACUAUCAUCCUAUGUCCUAUAAAGUAACUUUUGAACUUACAAUUACUUGAUCAUUCUCGCCCAUAAACAAGGAAACUUGAUGAGGAACUUGACGAAAAGGAUCAACAGGAAAUGCAGAAGUUUGAAUCUCAGAUAGAACAAUUCAGAUAGAACAAUUCAAUGAAAAAAAAAAAGAAAAAGAAAAAGAAAAGGAUAAUUUUGUCCCAAUUCCAACUAAACAAAUUAACUGCAGCAUUAGGUAAAAACAAUGCAACGAAGACAGAUUUGAUUGAGAGAUUAUGCGAAAAGAAAAUUGCAUAAAAUUUACUUGGAAUUACGGCGGAAAUUACUUUUCUGAUGGCAAUUAAUAUUAAGUCUGAGGCAAAAGGGAAAUUCACCUUUAAUGGUUCCCAUCUGUAACGUCAAAAUGAGGAAAAAUAAAAGACACACCAAAAGAUGAUAAAUAAUAAAAUUUACAUUCGCCGCAUUCAUCGACCAGAAAGUUUUAAACCAACAGAAAACAUGUCUGAAGGCUUUUACCGGCAAGAUUCACAGUGUGAAGGUUAUCUACAUAUUUGAGAGCCCUAACCAACUCAUAUGUGGGUUGGUAACAGUUUCAUGAGCCCCUAGAUACAAAAAUAAACACUAGUUCAAACAUUAAAUCAGAUCUAUGCGUGCUAAAGCAAAUAAAGUAACUUCAUAUAGUCCAAAAUAGAAGGUCAUUGCUUCUAUUCAGGCCAACAAUAGUAUGUAUAACUUCUUCAAAAAAAUCAGUAAAUAUUCUUCACUGAGUUGAAUGUUUCAGAUCUCUCUUAAUCUCAGUCACCUUAUGCCCUGAUACAUCGCACCCGGACGAAGCUCAUCCAAUGUAUCAACACUUCGGAAGCCACUAAGUUCUCUUAGUCCAGUCCAACCACGGCGUGAGAGAAAGUCGCAAAAAUCUUUUUCAGUGUAGAGAGUCUUUUCUUCAGUUUGGACUGGUAUGCGAUCUGUGUCGUCAUACAUGCACACUUUGAUACUUAUCCCUGAAAAGAUUAUACACGAGAAGUCAUAAAGCGGAAGUAUUCAUAUCCGUCAUUAUAAAAUCUCCAUUGUGUAUAUAGCAAAUGCAGUUAUGGAUAACCACACAAUAUUACGAUAAGCUGGAUACAAGGGAAAUUUGCAUUAUAUAAGUUAGAAGAGGGAGUUUCAUGGAAUCAGUAGGCACAACUUGAUUUCUAUGUAGCAUAGCCAUAUCCAUAGAGACUAGUUGUAAGCUUUCAUUAAUUUAACUAUGAUCAAUUGUCAACUAGUGUAUUAUUUCUCUCCUUCCUAAGAGAUUGCUUGUUUCACAUUCUUUUCUCCGCAAAGGCCAAACCACUAAUAAUUGCCUAAUUAUUGUCGUUUCUAUUGUUGUUAGUGUAGUUGCACCAAAAGGAUUAGGCAGUUAAAUCAUGAUUUUAAUCUCUUAAUUCUCGUAAAAGUUGAACUACAAGCAUUUUUGAACGGACUAAUAAUCCUAAUUUGUUUUUAUCCUUCCACGAAUCAUCUAGUAUAGUACUCGUAACUAGUCCUUGCCUCUUACCUUGGAUAGGCCAAUAUGAAGCAGAAAAAGGCCUUGUGAGAUGCACGUAUGAUGAUAGAUAACAAAAUUUGUAGAAAAUUAGAAAUAUAUGAUGAAUAUUAUAAACUAAAAGAAGAUCGUUCAAUUAUCUGGCAAAAGUAUAUUAAUUUUACCCUCAUCAAGAUGAAGAGUAUAAGUUCCUAAUGGCAUGUCCCUGUCAAAGCUGCGAACUACAUCAUCUUCAUCUUCGAGCCAAAAGGCCCUUUUAGUUCUUAAUCCAAACGCUGAUUUGAUGGCCUCCUUAAUUGCCUCAGCAGUGCCAUCAAUACCUAUCCUUUUAGUGUACUCUCCCCAUUUGACUAAAAUAACCCUUCCAACAUAAGAAGGAUGGUUGUCGCCACCUGCCAAUAAGGUUAAGACUAAUUAAUAGAGUGAAAGCAAUCCAGGACACCCAAUAAACUAAAAGAGCACUAAUUAAAUUGCAAUUGCAAUUAGCAAAUUUUACUUUGCAUAUUCUUUUUUUCAGAGAUAAAAGGUUAAAUGUCGACUCUUAAGCAGCAAGGACAGGUCGUUCCCUUUCAGUAAUACUAGUAUCUGCUAUAUAGUAGUAUUACUUGAUAUUUGCUGAACUUCUGAUGAACUGUGAUUUUGGUGUCUAAUCUUUUUCUCUUAGACAUGCCUAUCUCAAUCUAACCUUUUUUUUGCAAUGUCAUCCACAGAUUCAAUUCCACCCAAAUCAAUGUUUCAUUCCGCAUUUGCUCUCCAUACGACAACUGAUACUAUUAGAUGAUUUUACUCAAUAUUCAGUAAAAGGUCAUUUAACAUGAUAAAAUUGUUUGGAGGCCUUGUUUAGAGCAAAUGGUGAUGCAAAAGUCAUAUAACAUGAUAGGUUUUCCAUGUUAUGUGCAACCCCUAACAAAAGCUAGGAAUUUUGGACAGAAAGUGCACGCACGCAUAAAACUGAAAAAGAUAAUAUCAGAACCAAAAACAAUCUACUUAAGUAAAAAAAAAAUUAAGUGUUCAAAUUAACAAUCAACACAUUUCAAAGUACUAAAAUAAUAUCUCAGGAGAAAGUAUAUUAACAGGUAUCGCAAAUUUUCAAGAUAUAAGUGUUACCAUUUGCAGAGGAAUCCCUCCAAUUCCAAGGGUUGACACCAUUAGUUGCUACAGCAUCAGCAGCUGUUAUGGCAAGAGGAUGCCUUUCACUCUCCAAAUGUCUUUCCACACUAAGGGUUGACCUACCACCAGCUAGUAAAUCAUAUACAUAGCUUUAAUUACAAAUAAUGUAUGUUCCACCAAGCAUUUUGUGUUGAAAAAAAAAAAUCACUUGGCUUAAUAAUACACACUACAAAGCCAGGGAUGCAAAAUCAGAAUCAUGAGAGACAACAAAAAGUAGUCCACUACUCCGCUCUGAAGGAUAUCACGUAGAAAAAGGAAACAGUCAUGAAACAUAAAAAACAGUCGAUUACCUUCAACAGAUCCAAAUGGAAUUGCAGUAUCUUCAAAACCUAGGACAAAGAACAGUAUGUAUCAAUUGAUUAGGUUAACAACAAUAAAUAGAAUAAUUACGAGUAUGAGCUUAUUCAUGUAGCUAACAUACCAAAACAGGAUAAUUUCUAGUUUGAGAUAAUUCAUGCAACCAAUAUAUCUGUCCAGCCCACAAAAAUAAGUAAUGUGCAGCUAAUUGGUUACUUCUUUAACAUCCCGAAGGACAAGAAAUAUACUAUUAUACUGCAUAUAUCAGCUUGAAACGCAACCAAAAAAAAAUGUAAACAAUUAUCACUGUUUGAAAAGUACGAAAGGAAAAUGAUAAGCAUAGCAUAAAGAGAGCACAUAAUGCAAUAAUGAAAACAGAAAACAAAUGGCAAUGCCUAACUGAAAUAUUGAGUAUACAGAGCUGCCUUUCUUAAGUCUAUGAAUUCCAUAUUGGGAACAAAUGCCACAAAGGUAAUGGCCAACCUGUUCUUCCUAAAAAAAUAUGAUAAAUCUAUGCAAUCUGAUAGAUCAAGAGAGCACAAAUGGAACAAAUGGUUCUGUAGAAAACACUUUGAACUUUCACACAGGCAUCAGCAUGUACACAGAACAAUAAGCACGCAAACAAGGCAGUCCGCUGAAUAGCUCACUUCUCUUUUACUUCAAUGUGUAGUGUAAAAUCCAUAGUGGCCAGAAAUUAAUUAGAAGCAUCUCAAACAGAUAAAUGUUUUCCAUCUGAUAUUUUGCGAAUCAAAUCUUUCACUAAUCUAUGCCCCAGUGAUGAAGGCAAAAUCCUGCAAAAAGGUUCACAUCAUUAUCCUCAAGAAGUCUAUUCCCACGCUCACAGUAGACAAUAUGGAAACUGUAAGGUCACUCUUGUUUGUACAAAGCUUUAAUUGCAACCAAAAGUCUAGCCGCAGUUACUUGGAUAGCAACUAAGUAUCAAGCUAAUUGACUAUCUAAUCAUGUUCAUAUAUCAUCAUGCUAUAGCAAAUUACCAAUAAGAAGUAAUCAUCAAGGAAAAGCAAACUCAUGUAAAAAUGCAUUAAUCAUUUAUCAAACUUUACACAAGCGGUCUGAUACCUUUAUCAGAGAAUUGCAGAUAGGAAUCAACCUUGGAAGCAGUAGGGCUUUUGUAAGGAGCAUUCUUGCUCCUCUCCUUAAGCAACUCAUCAAGCUCCUUGUAGUACGACAUCUUCGCCGACCCACUCCCCUUCGACUGAUGCUUCGCCUUCUUGAACUCCUUGAGCAAAUUCCUCCACUUAUCGGUGCACAUGGUCGGCGACCUAUCGUACCCUUUCUCCCUCAUCUUCGCCGAGAUCUGCUCCCACAAGUGCUUAUUCGACUUCGAUGUAUUGAAAAGCCCAUCCAUCUCCCUCCGAAAGCUGAUCAAGCUUCUAGUCUCCUCCUGAACCCAAGUCUCCGCCCGCUUCUUCGGGGCCUUAAUCUCAUGGUCCUCUCCGCUGCUCUCAGUGAAGAUCAUCUGCUGCGGCUGCGGCGGCGGCGGCGGAGGCGGCGGCUGCUGCGGCGGUAAUCCGCCAUUGCCAACGACUUGGAUCAUCAUAUCCCUAGCUUCUUCCUUGUAGUAAUCCACGGGUCGAGGCUUCUCGGCCAAGUACAUGCUCUUCCUCGCCCCGGCCUCUUCCUCCUCGCCCUCCUCCUCCCUCCUUCGGUAGCAACGGAGGAGGGGCUGCGACAAGAACUGGUCUAGAGUAAGAAGAGACAUGGAAUCACACGGCGACCACAAGAGGGCUUUGCGACUAGCCCCGACGGAGCAAAACCCAUGUCGCGAAUCCCUCCAAAACCUGAGGGGAAUUGGGGAUUCGAGAAGCGAUCUCUAGGGAGACAAAGGGAGGCAAAUGGAGUGGGAUUUGGAGAGGACGAUGAGGGCAACAAAACCCGUAUCGCGGACUCGGGGAAUCGAGACGAAGAAGAAGGAGAAGAAGAUGAAGAAGAAGAAGAGGGGAGGAGAAAAGAGACGAGGGUUUCGGAGGAAGCGACGAAACCGAGCUCGCUAAUGGCGAGAGCGACACAGAGAGAGACGGGGGGUUUUGGCUUUUUUUCGCCGCUUUUCUCAGCUGAAGCUUUUAUUUGUUUUUAGGGAGGGAGACGAAAAGGGUGUAACUCUGCUCAAUGAGGCUUCUUCGCCUGAGCGGAGAAUAUACUAAUAUUGUGGGGGGUUUUGUGUAAAAUGCCUACUUAAUUAAUCAAUUUAUCAUUUUGUAAAUGUUUGAUCAUAUAAUUUUAAGUGUAGAGCUACUAUCGGAAGCAUAAAGUAAUUAGUACUUCUGAUUUUUUAAUCCUUAGAUCAAAAAAUUUUACGAUUGGGAUGAUAACGAUCCCAUUAGAGUGGAGUGGUCCCUAGGGUUGAGUGAUCCCUAUUGAUUAAUAAUAUUAAUCCAAUGAUUAGAAAUGAUUAAUUGGACUGAUCUAAGAGCUAAAAAAUCAGAAGCACCAACUACUUUAUGCUUCCAAUAGUAUAGCAGCUCUACUCUAAUUCUAAAUUCUAAAUAUCGAUUCAAAUUUAGUAUUUGCAAACAAAUUUUUCAAUACAUGCAAAAAAUAUCAAUUUUGCGUGGUGCUUGCUUCACCAACAGAUAUAUCAAAAAAUAGUUCUCUCACUAAACAAUAUUUUUUAUCAGUUUGAUUACUACAAAUUUUUUAUUUUUCUUCAAAUUUUAUGAAAAAGUCUUACUUACGUUUUUCAGAUUUUUAUUUUAAGAACAGAAAUUAUGAAAAUAAUACUUUUUAUUAUGAAAUUUUUUAAAACAUAAUUUUUUAUGCUUUUUUUAAAAAAUCAAACACCUUCUAUAAGGGCUAUACGUGUAGCAUUUAAAGGCCAAUUUGCAUAAAAAAUCCACUUAUUUUAGGCUUUUGUAAAAUCGGGCCACCUUUUUCGUUUUUGCAGAUUCGGUCCGCUUUUUUAGCAAACUGACCAAAAUGCCCUUGUACCUUUUUCUCUUUCUUUUUUUUUUUUUGUCGUUCUUUUUUCCUUUUUUUUCCCAGAGAGCAGCAGAGGCGGAAACGCCACCCCUGCCCCGGCGACGUCGCCUUCGUCCGCUCCGGCGACGUCGCCGGCAACGAGCCCCUCUCCCCUGCCUCAACCCAAAUCCUCCGACUUUGCUGAGGCCGCGCCACCAUCCUCUUUUUUUUUCUCUCUUUCUUCUCUUCUUCUUCUUUUUCUUCUUUCUCCUGCAGGAACAGUUUUCUUUUUUUUUUUUUUUUUUACUCUUUCUUUUUUUUCUUCUUCCUGCGGGAGAAGCUUCCUUCUCUUUUUUUUUUCCUCUUUUUCUUCUUCUUCUUCUUCUUCCUCAUGUACGCCAAGUUCUGCCACCCCGCCACCAACCUCUUUGCNAGAACGAGAGAACGAAGAGGAGAGAGAAAGAGGAAAGAGAAAAAGUAAUAAGGGUAUUUUGGUCAGUUUGCUGAAAAAGCGGACCGAAUUUGCAAAAACGAAAAAGGUGGCCCGGUUUUGCAAAAGCCCAAAAUAAGUGGAUUUUUUAUGCAAAUUGGCCCAUUUUCUUUCAUAUUACCUAUAAAUUUUAUAUUGCAUAAAUAUUAAACGGAUAGGCAUGAAAAGAGAGAAAGAAUAUAGGACAUUUUCAUUUAAAAAUUAUAAUUUUAUAAAUUCCAAAAAUAAUGGUUCAAAAAAUUUGUUAAGCGAACUUUGUGAUUAAAAAUAGCGGAAAUUACAAGUGAAAAUGUACUGAACCCCCUUACAUAUCAUUUUGAAACAGGUUCCUAAACCUCCCUCUCUUUAUUGGCACUUGAUCAUUUGAUUGAUUUAGUUUAAAUUGAUUCAAUUUAAACUAAUUUAAACUAAAAUCAUAUUGAAUUAACCAUUUUUAUUUGUUAUUAGCUAUUGGCAGUUAACGGAAGAUGCUAGUAGCCAUUAGAGUUAUUAAAUAUAAGAGAAGUAAAUUAAAUCUAACGACUAAAUUAUACAAACCAAAAAAAUUUAAAAUAAAGAGUUUUCGCUUAAUAAAAUUAAACUACUUCAGUUUUAUUUUACACUCAUCAAUUUUGACUUAAUAAGGUGGAUGAUAUGGAGCAUAGAUCGCAAUUGAAAACAUUAUCACUUUUGACCAGAAAUAUAAAGUUCAGUAAUCUAACAAAAUAAGUGAAUAAGCGGCUGUCACUGGCGCAAGCGGCAAAGACUAAAUUAUUGAUAUAUGACGGUCCAAAUUCAAAGCUUAGUUAUUUUACAUCAUCAGCUUAAGAAUUCGAGUCACAGACUAUUAUCUUAAGAAUUCGAGUCAAAAGUUAUAAAUUGGAGUCGAAAUCUAGUUAAAGCUAAUUUCAACUAAGAUUUUGUUGGCCACCAAAUAAUUUUAUGGUGGGGUUUUUUUGCAAAUGGCCUUGAAAAAAUUUUAUUUUAAAACUUGCUCCAACAAAUUUAUAAUUAUAAAAAUGGCCCUCUCCUGCCACGCAGGCGCCACGCAAGCGCGACGUGGGCGGGCUCGGAGGUCGCUUGCUAAAUUGAACACGGUGAAUGAUUCACCGUGUUCAAACAUAUUUAUAAUCACUUUCUUCUUUUUUAGGGAUGUCAAUGGGUCGGAUUAGAUCGGGUUUUCAAAAAUCCGAACCCGAAUCCGAAAAUCAAAUUAAAACUCGAACCCGAAUUCAAACCCGGCGGAUUUUAAAAAUCAAUAUCCAUAUCCAUACCCGACCAAAAACCCGAAACUCGAACCCGAGCCCGACCCGUUGACAUCCCCAAAAUCCAAACCCGAAUCUGAAAAUCAAAUUAAACUCGAACCUGAAUUCGAACCCGGCGGGUUUUAAAAAUCCAUACCCAUAUCCAUACCCGACCAAAAACCCGAAACCCGAACCCGGACCCAACUCGUUGAUAUCCCUAAAAGAGAAAAAAAAGAAUAUAAAUAUAAAACGCGGUAAAUGAUUCGCUGUGUUGAACUUGGCAAGCGACCUCCCAGCCCGUCCACAUGGCGCUUGCGUGGCGCCUGCGCGGCAGGAGUAGGGUUAUUUUUGUAAUUAUAAAUUUGUUGGGACUUGUUUUAAGAUAAAAAUUUUUUAGAAGGCCAUUUGCCAAAAAAGCUCUUUUAUGUGCUUACGUCCUAAAAUUUUUAUUUUUAUUUUGUUUUUUAAAUAAGUCGUGCCAAACAGGCUCUUGUUUUCAUAUACUGUAAUAGCUAGUAUAUCCAUAUGAUGAAACGUUCUAGUGUUGACAUUAUUGGCGUUAGCAUUGUUUUUGUGCAUUGGUGCUUUAUAAUUUAAAAUAAAAAAUAUUGCUCGAGUAACACAGGUUUGUGAAAGAAUGUGAAAAGAUUAGUGAUCUUAAUAAAAUUUUGGUAAGUGUCAUAUGUGAACGUUGUGAGAUGCAGAUUUUCUAAUUAGAGAAAUUUACUCCUGAUAAGCACUUAACCUGAAAUUAGAAGAUACUCAGUUGCCUCUCACAGAAAAUAAAUAAAUAAAUAAACAACACUUUACGCGGUAUCGUGCCAUUUAAUUUGUCAUAUGACCAACGAUUAAUACAAACAGUAAUAUAAGUUAAGAAGAAUAAUGACUGUGAUGCAUAUGUGAAUGCAUUCUACUGAGAGUAAUUUUUUGACACAUCAGAAUAAUCAAGAUCAGUCAUUUUGCUCGUCGUAUACUUUAAGGUCAUAUUUGAAUGUUGAAAUAAAUUAUCUAGUAAUAACUUAUUAAGUACAACUUUUUUUUGACUGAAAAUUUAAAGUUUGAUUUUUUGCCUAUUAAAAGAUUUUGAUACUAUUUUACCUACUAAGUGAUUUGCCUUAUUUUUAAAAAAUAACUUAAUCAAUCAUGAUUCAACACAACCAAUGAUGUACAGAAGUGACUUUGUUAUUACUUGAAAGUGAGCAAAAUCAAAUACCUUUUACUCUUUCUAUCAAUAAAGGCUAAAUUACUUUUGGUCCUCAAACUGAGUUGCAUGAUAUUUUGGUCCCCAAUUUUAACUUAUUAUAAUUUCUGCCUCAAAAUUUCUAAACUGUUAUAAUUAAUUCCCAAAUUUAAUUUACUGGACUAAAUAUUUAUAUAUUAUAAAUAUAAAAGUAAGGGAUAAUUAUCUAUAUACCUCUGAAAACUUUAAAAAUAUUUUAUUUAUCCCUAUUUUUUUUCUUUUCAAUACAUCCAUUAUAUAUAUGUUCCUCCGUUAUUCCAAAAUACCCCUAUAGUUACCACCCGCUAAAUUAACUUGUGUUAAAUAUAAGUUAAAUAUUUAUUAGAGUUAAAAAAAUCAAAAUGUCUCUUUUGCUCUAACUUAACAGCAAAUAAGAAAUAUUGGUGAUGGUAGAAAGCUAUAUUUGAAAAGUCAAACAAUUAAAAUACUUUUUGUAUCCCUAACUUAAGGAUAAAUAAGAAAAGUUAGUGAUGGUGGAAGGGUAUAUUUGAAAUAAUAGUAAUUUCAUGUAGAUAACAGCUAUUGUUAAUAAUUUAUUAACAGAAUUUAACUCUAGAAAUAUAUUUAAAAUAGGUUGGAACGUAAAAAAAUAUUUUCAAUAUUAGUUUUCUAAAAGGAGCAAAUCAGAAAAUCGAAAACUUUUUAGAAGUAUAUAAGUAAUUGCCCCUAAAAGUAAUAUGACAGUGUUGUGAUAGACGACGCGACAAUAAUUAAGAUGUCGGACCACUUUCACAUUACCGACACUUUAAUACUUAGUCAACUAAAUUAAAUUAUAAAACUUAUUAUAAUAAUUUAUAAAUUUUAAAUAAAAAAUUAUAAUAAAUAAAAAUUUAAGAGCUGAAAUGUCACAACAAGGUAAGCAUUUCUUUCUUACUUUUUCACUUUAUUAUUACUUAUUACUUGCUCAUGGGUACAAGAUUCUUCACCUAGUCAUUAUAAAAAAUUGGGGCAAAAUCCACACAAAGAUAGCAUGACUAGUAAGGGUAUGCUUGGUGAGUUGGGCUAUCUCUUAAAACAAAGUUGCACUCAAUCUCUUCCUUCCACCAUCUUCUUCUCUAAUUCCUUCUUUCCAUCUGCAUCCAAGCUAUUCUAGACCAAUAUUCCACCCAUCUUUUUAAAACAUAACUAUUUUGUCCAUGUAUGUGUAACUUGUUUUGUUAGAGAGAGAGAGAGAGAGAAAUACCAACUGCAAAAAAACUAUAAAAAGGAUACAAAAGGGUGUUAGAUCUACCAAUCUAGUUUAUGUCCUUGAGGACCUAUUUGGUCCCACUUUGAUUUUCAUUCUCAAAAUAAAAAACUAAAAUUAAAGCUUUUUAUGUUGUUCCGACAAUAUUUUAUCGGACAAUAUUUACCGUCUGCGGCAAAGCCAAAUAUAUUCAUUCUUAGGCAGAAGUUCUAAUUCGAGAUCUAGAUUUGAUUAUUAUCUUAAAAAAUUCGUUGUAAAUUUAAGCUUAUUUGGAUAAUUUGAAUCCAAUUAGUAGUUCCAUUGGUUAAUUAAGUUCUUGCAAAUAGGUCAAACCUGGCUCCUAACUAAACCCAACUACUUAGCCAAAUUGGAUUGGGUCAGAUCGGGUUGGGUAUUUGCUGCAGAGCCAAACCGCGUGAGGGAUACGUAUGAGUCAAAAACUUGCGGAGCACACAAGAGAUUAUAACAGCACAAAAAGGAACCAAUAAAAGCUCGCCACGUCAUCAACUAGGUGCCGUGGUAAAGCUAAUUUAGAAUCUCCAACUAAUCCAAGUUUACGCACUAAUCAUAGCCCAUCUCAAAUCCAACGGCCAAGAUCGACCGCGUGAUCCCGUGGGUGGGGUACACAAUCCGAUAAGGUGGGCCCGCACGAUCACGCCCCCGCGUGCCGUUGCGUCAUUCCAACGGAGAAACUAUUGCCUACACCCGGUUUAUGAUUCAUCUCAUACACCAUUCCGGUGCGUCAUUCCAACGGAGAAACUAUUGCCUACACCCGGUGUAUAAUUACAUCUCAUACACCAUUGCUAAAAAAAUCUGUAACAAAGACUUGAACAUCUAAAAUCCAACAUAUAAAAAAUUAUGAGCUUAAGACAUUUAAUUUCUCAUAAUUAAAAUUAAUUAAAUAAUUAUCAAUUGUAUUUAUUGGAUCAGAUUUUAAUUUUAAGGUGGGAAUUAUAUAAAUAUAUUUAGAAAGUAUCUUAACUAUAGGCAAUUUUGAGAUAGGCUUCAUUUGGGAUUGCUGUGAGAUUGUAUUACGUGUGGUAAGAAAGUAUGAUAGAAAAAUACUUUAUUUGUUUCCGUACGUAAUAUUGCAUUAUGUAUAUCGCGAUGAGUUUGUUACUAUAUAUUUUCUGCGAUUCCACCGGAGAACGCAGAAGUAUAUCUCUAUAUAUUUUUUCUUCAACUCUAUUUUUAUCUAAUAGUGUUAGAUAGACCUCAAUACCAAAUUAAGCCAUAGCUUCAGAGCACCCUCAACUUAUAAUUUUUUGAAAUCAAGUAAUUUUAGUUAAAAAUUUUAAAUUUUUUUUCAAAUUUAUUGAUAAUUUUAUAAAUUUAAUAAUUUCAAUCACAUUUUAGCAAAUAAAACUAAUAAAUUAAUGGUACUAAUAAAAUUAUUAUAUAUGAUAAAAUUUUUACUUUUAUUAAAGUUUCAAAUCAGAAAAAUACGAACUUAAAGAGGGUCUCAACUUAAAAAAAAAAAGUUGAGAAGUUUAGAAUAUCCCAUAGUUGAGGGGGUCUCCACACAAUUUAUUUUUUUCUUUUACCCCACUAUGAUCAAAAAUUGGAUACGAUUUACCCCACUAUAAUCAAAAAAAGUUUGAGGCUUAUUUCGAAAAUCCUUUACUUAAGGAGAUCUCCAUACUUUUAUUUGAAAAAAACUUCAAAUACCACUCCUUGUGAUUUCAUACUUUCUUAUUUUAGUAUCCUAUGAUUUAAAAUAUAUCGAUUUAGUGCCCUGUGAUUUUAUUUUUAUCUUUUUAUUAUAGAUUCUAUUAAUUUUUUUUAAAAUUAGUGACAAAGUUAAAACCAAAUGGUAUUAAAAUGAAUACUUGAUAAACCUAGGUGGGGUAUGUGAAGUUUUUUGUAUAUAAUUUAACAAAAUAUUAACGAAAAAGUUGACCAAAAGAUAAAAAUAAAAUCACAGAAUACUAACUUGAUACACUUCAAACUAUAGAGUACUAAAAUGAGAAAAAAAUGAAACUAUAAGGGUGGUAUUUGAAGUUUAUUAUUAUUAAUUUUUUUAGAAAAAACUUCAAAGACCCCCUGUGAUUUUGUAGUUUCUCACUUUGCCCCCAUGCAGUUUAAAAUGUAUCAAUUUGCCCCCCUGUGGUUUUGUUUUUAUCUUUUCGGUAGCUUUUUCAUUAAUAUUUCAUUAAAUUAUAUACAAAAAAUUUCAUCAAAUAUUUAUUUUAGUAUCCUUUAAUUUUAACUCUAUUACUGAUUUAAGAAAAAAAAAUAAUGAAAUUGAUAAGAAAAAGAGAAAAAAAAACCAUAAGGGCAUUAAGGGGGCAUAUUGAUACAUUUUAAACCGCAGAAGAGCAAAGUGAGAAACUGCGAAACUACAGGGUGGUUUUUGAAGUUUUCCCUUUUUUAUAAGGGAAAAAACCACUGCAAUCUAAAAAUGGAUACGGUUUACAAGGUGUAAGGGUACACAGGGUGCAGGAAAUAAUUUCACCACCUGUAGGCUCUGGGAACCGACACGUGGCCACCGCUCGCAAACCCCGAUCCUAUUCUCCCGAAACGCCCCCCCGCCCCGGGAUUAGUUAAAUUCUAGGUUGGCCCCCUCCCCCGCCUCCACGCUUCUCCCUCGUACUCUCUCUCUCUCCUCUCUCUCUCUCUCUCUCUCUCUCCCCCCUCUCCCCCCUCUUUACGGAAGAAGAGAGAAGAAGAGAUCUUUGCGGGGUUCCAAAUCGCGGAGCCCCUCCGAUCCUUGGUCGCUUUUCCAGGGGCGAUUCGGGGCGCUAGAGUCGAUUUCGGGCUCGUUUUCCUCCUCCGAUCGGUAGGGUUUUUUUUUUUUUUUUUUUUUUUUUUUUUUUUUUUAAUCCAAUCCACCAUUAUUGUAACCUUUUCUCUCACUUUUGUUUUUUAAAUCUUUUCUUUUUCGUCCGCUGAGGAUGAUAUAUAUGUAUGCCUCUGGUGUUUCGGUGGGAUUCGGGAUCGAGUUUUGAGUCGAUUGAUGAGGAGUUUUUAGGUGUUGAAGGGGAUUAAGGUCGGGGGUUUUAUUCGGAAUCGUGUUUUCUCCCUCCUUUUUUUUUUCCCAAAUUUUUUUGCUGUAGUUAUUCGUCGUUUGAUUGAUCAAAUCUCUAAAUCUCUUCGGAUUCGGGGAAUCCGUGAUCAAGAGGCUCGGUGAAAUUUUUGGUGCUAGGUUUUUUGUUUGCAAUCGAAAAUUGAGGGUUUUCUUGGGGAGAUCUAGGGUUUGGAUUAGGGUAGAUGGUAGGAUAAAGAUAAAAAAGAGGGGAAAAAAAAGGAGAAAUCUGCUGAGAAAAAAAGAAAAAAAAAGAUCUACAAAAUUAUUGCCUUUAUUCUUUAAUUCGUUGUAUUUGAUUCCACAAAUACCACCCAAAACAGAAAAAAAAAGCAAAAAAAAAAAAAAAAACCAAAAAAAAGGAGAAAGUCACUACACAGUUUUUGAAGAAUUGGUGGAUCGGAAAAUGGCUGUAAAUUUCUCAUCUUGUUCGGUGCUGCCAACUCCAAUCCGUGGGGACGAUGAUUGCGCCAACUCAAUACGGAGUGGUUGGGAUGCUUUUGGUAGCUCCUACCAAUCUGGAUGGAAAUUUGAUGAACCUAGCUCUUCCAGAGGGAAGAGAGAGUGGGGAGAAAGAGAUGAUUAUCGUGAUGUGGUCGAUCGAUUGCCGUCCGACCCCUUUGGAAUGAACCUGGAGACCACUUUCACUUCAGCAUUAUCUGGUUGGAUCGGAGAUGUAAGAAUUAUAUCUAAUGAGUAUCAAAUGGGUGUUAAUCACCUUGAUCCGGCAGAUCUCUUGCCAUCUGAUCCCUUUGGGAUGAACCUUGAAACCUCCUUCACUGCAGCUAUUGCUGGCUGGAUUGGAGAUUUCAGGGCUAUACUUGGUGAUUAUCAGCUCGGUGGUGGUAAUGAUCUUUUUGCGGGCUUGAGUUACUACUGCAAUAAUGCUUUGCUGGUACCUUCAGCAGUCCAAUUGAACUGCGAAGGUCAUCGUGAUGGGCGGGGAAGUGCUUUUGAACCUGUCGUCAAUCUGGAAGUGCUUUCCAGCUCUAAAGGUCCUGAACUUGGAAAGGAUGAUUGCGACGAGAGUAUUCCACAUGAUGGUUUGCUUUACACUCUUGGUUAUCUCGAGAUUCAAGAUCGCCUCUCAGUUGAAAGGGUCUGCAAGACUUUGCGCUCUGCCAUUCUGAAUGACCCCCUUCUGUGGAGGUGUAUCCACAUACAUUAUGAGUUGGGUGAUAAGUUAACAGAUGAUGGUCUUGUGCGGCUAACACAGAAAGCCCAAGGCAAUCUGCAGUGCUUGAGCGUGGUGGGAUGCCCAAAGAUCACUGAUGAUGGUCUGAGGCAUGCACUUGAGAAUUGCCCAAAUCUUAGCAAGGUUAGUAUGAAAUGUUUUUGGUGACAGCUAAUGUUAAUUUUAUUUGUUUAGAAAGUCAUUUAGUUGGCAUGAUUGCUCUCGAAUCAUUUUGCUUAUCUUCAUUUUGCUUGAAUUUUCUUGCAAAAUUUUGUAUUCACUGUUUUGUUUAAAAAUGAAAAUUCUUUGUAGUGCUUAUAUGUUUCCUAUUAUGUUUAAUUGUUUCCAUGUACUUUGUGUGGUGUGUAUACCACCGCAAUAUGUUGGCUAAGGGGCUGAAUCGGGUAAUUAAAUUAAUAGGGCUGUUUGAAUGAUUUAUCUCUUGCUUUGAAUGCGUAAUGUAACAAUCAGACUAUAGAAACUUAAGGUUAAAGUGAAGUUUAUUUGCGGCUCCAAGAUAAACUACAGUUCCAUAUUGGAAACAUGGGCUUUCCUUUGGUCUCAUAGGUUCUUCUGGUCUAAUUUAUUAGAAAUAGACUCUUUAGGUUUAAUGUGAAGUUGGACUAUUUGGUAAAAGAGAUCAGUUACUUUGACAAUCAUGUACAAGAUACAGAAAACAGUUUACCAAGAUUGGCUCUUUUAGCUUCUUAAGAUGCACCAAGUUCCGAAGUCAUGCGGAAUUUUAGGACUGGGUCUCCUGUCAAUGCAUGCUAUUAUGCUUUUAAGUCUUUGUGUAGUCAUUUAAAUAACAUUGACAUCUAAUCUGCAUGCUAUUAUGCUUUUAAGUCUUUGUGUAGUCAUUUAAAUAACAUUGACAUCUAAUCUACAGGACAAUGUUUUGAAUAGGAUGAUUGGGAUAAGUUAACUGUUCCCAGAUAUUUAUCUAUUUUGUCGAUUUGCCAUUUGUGUUAUAAGCUUUUAGAUCAUAUUAUGCCUAUGACAGAAAGGGCCCCAGACUCCCAAGGCACUGAUUAGAUCUGAACUUUUGUGAAUGUGAAAAAUGCUUCUUGCACAUCAGUAGUUGUUAUUUUUUAAUUCAAGAUUCUUUUAUUCCGCAGACUUAUUUUGUUCUUAUGAUUACUUUUGUGCUUCUUAAAAUCCACACAUCUAAUUAUUUUUGAAUUUUCCUGCAUCGCAGAAUGUAGUAACAUAGCAUGACUUGUUCUUUUAAUUACUUGAUUUUUGUUUAUGUCCUCUCUUUACGGCUGAUUACUGAAACGUGUUGGACUGUUCCUUUUGCGUAUUUCCAUCAUUCUGUUCAAAAUAUGUUGGAUGCUGAAAAGGACCAAUGCUUAUUUGUGUUCCUCCUUAAUGCAUAUUUGUAUCUUGAAGUGAUCUACUAAAGUCAUAGGUAUUAAAUUGAAGCAUUCUUCGCUACCUGCCUUUUAGCUUGUACAGCUUCUUGUUCUGCAAUGACCUUUUUUUAAAAUGAAUUUAUUUUGGUCAAUCUCUUCUCAUCACUGCUGAAACAAACCGGACUGUUCUUUUUGUAAAUUAACCAUUUUCUUGAAUAUUUUUGGAUCUUAUUAUUGUAUGCUCAAGUAAUAACAUCUUUUUAUGAUGCAGUUGAAUGUGUCCGACUGUGUUAGGCUCACUACAGAGGGCCUCAUCGAAACCCUAAAAGCUUUCAAGACUCGAAGUGGUACGGGAAUAAAGCACCUUAAAUUGGGCAGGCUUUUGAGCAUAUCGGAGAGCAACUUUGAAGAGCUGAAGCUAUUAUUAGGCAUGGACCAAUCUCAUCAGCUGAGGUCUUCUACUAAGCAGCGGUUCUAUCACAAAGAGCGGUCUUCUUUAGGGUGUUAUGACAACUCUGCUCUCGAUAUUGAGAUUUGUCCCAAGUGCCAAAAGCACAAGCUCGUCUACAACUGCCCUCUGGAGACCUGCAGGCAGAAAGGGCCAGAACUAUGUAGGGCUUGUGAUUUUUGCAUUGCGAGGUGUAUACAAUGUGGGAAGUGCAUCAAAGACGGCGAGUAUCAAGAGACAUUUGCUCUUGAACAUCUCUGUUCUGGCUGUUUAUUAUCAGAACAGUAGUUGAAGAUUGGAUUGAAGAGGUAUAGCUUGGCUAUGAUUACGACAAUCUUUCGGUUUAUCUUUUCCAUAUCCAAAAUUUCAAUGAAAAAAAAAGAAAAAAAAAAGAUGAUCCAAAAUCAAAAAAAAAGGAAAAAAAGGAAAAUCAAGAGUGAUGAAGAAUUGGCUGGAGACCAUUUGUCUUUUGUUCUCACAAUCAGCUCUGAGCUUGAUUUAGCUGGUGGCAUGUACUAGGGAGAGCAAGUCAUAUAUCUGCUUCGAGGUCGGUAUCACUUGCGGCUUGUCUCAGAUGUUCUAUCCUUCAUUCGAAUCUCUUAGCAGAAUCAUCGACGCUACCCAUACCUCUUGCCUCGAUUAUAUCCUAAAAAGAUGUGUGUGGGUCUACGUUGUCGGUUUGAAACUGUGCAAUAUCCAUAAAAAAAUUCAAGUGUUACUCAUACGCCUUUGAUGUUACGCUCAUGCAUCUUUGAUGAUGGGGCACAGCGUUUUCCUUCGCUUUUCUGUGAGGUGUCUGUGAGGAGUGAUGUAUAAGUAUGUAUUGUUAUUAAUGCCACUUGUUUGAAAUGUACCAAUAACAACAUAUACUUCAUGUACUGUUCUGCUUUAUCAUAUGGAAAUUUGGCGUAUUAAAUAGCAAUGUUUAUAGAAUCGUGUACUGUUCUGCUUUAUCACUGGGAAAAUUGGCUUAUUAUUAAAUAGAUAAUUUAUGGAAUGUGGGAGAAACCCUUUUAAGGGUUCUCUAGCGCUCCGAGGUGUCGAGGGUUCUACAGGAUAUUUUAAUCUAUUUCACCACAUAUUUGUGCUCUAAUUGAUUCUUGUUCAUAAUUUUUUAUUCAUUUGGAUGACUUAAUUUGGUUUGAAGAUGUGGGGAAAACUUCAAAACCUUCCCGUGGUUUUGCACUUUUUCAUUUUAGUAUCCUAUAGUUUAAAGUGUAUCAAGUUCAUAUCCUGUGGUUUCACACUUUUUUACUUUAAUAUCCUGUAGUUUAAAGUGUAUUAAGUUAGUACUCUGUGGUUUUAUUUUUGUAUCAAGUUAGUAUCCUAUGGUUUUAUUUUUGUAUCAAGUUGGAACCCUGUGAUUUUUAAACCACAAGGUACUAAAGUGAGAAAUUGCGAAACCACAUGGUACUAAAGUGAGAAAGUGCGAAACCAUAGGGUACUAACUUGAUACACAUUAAACCACAUGGUACUAAAGUGAAAAAGUGCAAAACUAUAUGGUACUAACUUGAUACACUUUAAACUAUAGGGUAUUAAAGUGAGAGAAAAGUGAAACCACAAGAGAUAUUAGAAGUUUUCCCAAAGAUGUGAACGGCUGAAUUCAGACAAGUUUUUAAAAACUCAAACCGGUCUUUGAAAACACAAACCAAAAUCAAAAUUCAAAACCGAAAUUAGAACCUGAAAUUUGACUACCGAAAUUAAAAUCCAAAUCCAAACCCGAGACAGUUGGGUUUUGGAAAUCCAUGCCUAAAACCCAAUCUGGCAAAAAAACUGAAACUGGAAACUCCAAAUUCGAAAGCAAUUAUUUCACCUAACCAAAUUUCACAAUAUAUCAUACUCAAACCUAAAUUUGCAAAGCACAUUCAACUUUUUAUAAGUCGUCAAGAACCAGAGUCAGUAGGGCUUUUAUUUUUUUUUCCUACUCUCUGUCGAUCAAAUUUAGAAAGUGUUUGUGCACGUAGGUUUAGGAAGUCCCAUUUGCAACAACUAAGGAAGCAUGGACGUAAUGUAUUUUCUACUAAGAUAGCAAUGCCCCGUUACAUAAGGGCUUGGUGGUGGGUAGCAAUGCCUCGUUACAUAAGGUUAUCCAAUUAUACCGACCGUCCCUAAAGCAAGUGACAAAGAAUUUGAUGGUUGGUACCCGAGAUCUAAGUUCGAAUCCUAGUUGAUUCACAUUUCUAGCUAAAUUUAUUUCUAAAUGAAAUAAAUGAAGCGGAUAGCGUGUUACCUAUCUCUCAAAAAAAAAAAGAAAAAAAGAAAAAAAAAGGUUAUCCAAUUACUUUCGCGGAGAUGCGCGGUGUACUCACUAAAUGAAGCGGAUAAAAAAAGGUUAUCCAAAGAUUUCAUACGACGGAGAUGACGCCUAUGAGGUUUGAUGAAUAUCUUCUAUAGGCGCAUUUGUUUUAGACACCUUCUAGGGUAUGCAUACAUUAUUUCAUUAUCCAAGAAGUUGGAAACACGUGCCUCCUUAGCGUCUGUUUGGAUCCUUGUAAAACCACUCCGAAAAAAGAAAAUAUUGGCCUCCUUAGCGUCUGUUUGGAUUCUUGUAAAACCACUCCGAAAAAAGAAAAUAUUGGAAAAAUAAUAUUUUUGUUGUUUGGUUGUUUGUAAAAAAAAAAAAAAAAGUUCAGAAAUAUUUUUUUUUACAGAUUCUAAGAAAACUGCACAUUUUCGUUUUUCGCUCUUCUUGAAUGGAAAACGAAAACUUCGCGCUCAAAAAACACGGUUCAGGCGACGCGUCGAAAACUUCGCGCUCAAAAAACGCGAUUCAGGCGAUGCGUUAACACACGGUGUGGACCGCGUGAGAUAGAGGCCCACAAGGGACCUAGAAGUAUUAUAUAAUUACAUACUUAUUAUAUAAUAUAUUUCAAAUAUUUAUUUAUAAAAUAAUAAUAAUAAUAAUAAUAAUAAUAUAUAGUAUAAUAAUUAUUGUAUAUUAAUAAUAUAUAAUAUAUAAUAAAAAAUAUAUAACAUUUAUUUAUUUAUUUAUUUAUUUUUUUCUUUCAACCAAACAGUUGGAAAAUUAUUUUAUUUUUCUACAAACCAAAUAUUAGAGAGCGUAAAAUUUUUUUUCCUCCAAUUUUUUUUUUUACAGUUUUACGUGGAACCAAAAACACUGUCAGUAAAAUUGCAAAAGUGCACGCGGGAAUCAACCUGUCACUUUAAGUUUACACAGUGGGCUCUUGUCAUGAUUUUUGUUUGGAGCUAACAAGUUAUAUUCAUUGGUCUGUUGAGUACGUUCAAUUUGCUUGUUUUGGCCUUUUAAAUACCUUUCAUUAGAGCAAAUCGUAAGUGAAAAAAAAAAAGAGAAAAAUCUUUAAUGUUGAGUGGUACUUUCUUCUUCUAACAAUGAUCACAUGGCUGAUGAUUUACAAUAAAAUUAACAUGCCAACCAAAUACAGAAUUAUUGCCUAUGCGAUUAGGAAACAACGUUUACGUGGGAAAGAUAUGUCAUCAAAUACCGUAGAUUUGAUCAAGAUAUAACAAUUAGAUUGAAAUCAUUACAUAGUAAACAACAACAUGAAAUGCAAAGUUUUUUUUUAUUUUAUUUUUUUGAGAGAUAGGUAGCACCCGUUUCGUUUAUUUCAUUUAGAAAUAAACCUUAGCAAAGUUGUACAGCAAAAAGAAACGGCGAGCAAAUUAUUUACUAUAUUUCUUCCGGCAAAGUUCUUUAACCAUCCAAAAGUUACUGAUCUUCAUCUUCUUAGACCGCGCUGAUGGGUUCCUUUCCGAUUAUUUGUUAGACUUCUUCUGGCAAAGUUCUUUGAACCAUCCGAAGGUACCAUUCUUCAUCUUCUUGAAGCGGGCUGACGCCGACCGCGCCCCCUUCGAGCCGUCCUUUCCUUUCUUUCUGUCGUCGGUCGUCGGCGGUAGCGGGGAGUCCGGAGUGCUGUCCCAUUGGUCGGCCCACGACAGCCCGCCGGCGUAGCUACAAUCCAUCUCUCCCCCUGCCUCUCUCUCUCAAACUUGUUUCUUCCCCCCUGCUAUCCCUGCAUUCAGAAGAGGAAAGAUGAUUGUUAAGAUACCCCAAUUUAGGAGAGUUUAUUUUGAACCAUUCAUUCCUUUUGCUGUAUUUAGAUAGGAAGCAACUACUCUCCUUGUUUCAUUCAAGGGAAGGGCCUCACAUAAUUGCAGCACAUAAUAGUAAAAUAAAUUGGCACCUCUUGAUCACAUUAGUGUCUUAUAAUAAUCCACCUAAAGGAAUGCAGUUUUCCGAAGAUCAACCAAAGAUACUCUGAACAUGUCAUUUUCCACCGUCUAAACGGUGGAAAAUUGUCCUCAAAUUAUACCCUCUUAAACUUAAAAAACAGAAAGAAAAAGAGACAAUUGAAGACCUGUCAAUAGGUGAUUCUUAAACGGCUCUAAUCAUAAAGUUGACCAUCAAGGAGAGAAAAAAAUAAAACACCGACAAGAUGAGUGAAAAGUAGACACCAAAUUAUAAUAAUAGUUCCUUUCAGCAAACACACAAGCAAACCAAGCCAAACUUCGAUAAAAAAGCUCUUCUGAUUCAAGCAAUCAGAAUUAUAAUUAGGAAAGAGCACUUGAAGGAAAAGAACGGGAGCAUUAAUUGAAACAUUCGAUACUUGAAUAUGUUUUUUUUUUCUGAAUUGUUGCAUCUUUUGGAUUUAAUUGCUACAUCAGAAUACAUGGCUUUGAUCAGAUCAUCAAUUUUGACCAGAUGAAGCAUUUACACAUAGAAACAUCAUCAACCAUUUAGGCUCAAUAAAAGAAUUAUAAUUCUGGGAUCUGCAAUAAUUCUGGGAACCUGUAGAUCCCACAACAUCAGCUAGGGAAACCAUCCUUCAUCCUUUCACUUGAAGAACUCAACAUGGCCUCCGAUAUCCCUGCACAAGAGCCUUGCUUCCGCAGCCAACUUUCGGCUUCUGCCGAUAACCAUGUUGGUCAGCCCAUGCCUCGGCUUUGGCUCGUAGGCUCGAGCCUCUUCUUCCCUCCCCAAAAGCACUUCUUCCCUAGCCGGCACCACAUUCCCCCACCAAAAAUCACAUAAAAUGCUAUAAAUAAGCUCCCAAUAAGCUCGAUCACGGAAAACCCUAAACAAACUACUCCCAUUUGGAGUCCAACAAUAGAGAUCAACCCAUUCCCUAUUCAUAAUCUCCAUUUGUCCUUGAACUUGUGGCAUGUAGUAGUACGGCAUGGCAUCCCAGGGAAGCGCAAGUUCGGGCUUCCCCUUAUUAUAAGGGCACUUCACUUCUAAAAUCCCACCAUCCGGAUGAAACCCUAAAAUUCCGUCCGGAGAAGCUCCCAACCAGCCGAAUUUGGCUUCUGCAUGAACUGCAAAUCCUAAAAAGCUCACCUCACGGCCUGUGAUGCUUUUAUACUGUUCGAUGGCCGGGGCCUCGUGGAGGAUGCCCCAAUCCAUGGCUGCUCUUGCAGCUGCUUCGAAUGAGAUGUCUUCUGGUGUAAAUACUUUCUGAUGCCAAAGCUCGGAGCGGCGGUUGCCCCUCCAAAACCCCAAGGCGGUGCUGAAAGUGCUGGUGGUGAGCUUAUCCUUGCGGAGGGCGAACCAUUCAUCUGAUCGUUGGGGCACAUCCGAUGAUGUGAGGUGGGCCGAAACUGCUAGAGGUGGAGGAUUUGCAAGGACAAUCGAUGAGGAAGGUUGGGAGGAUUGAGACAAGGAAAUAGUGCAGCUCCGAGCGAUAUAUCCUUCAAAAUUUUGUCUGGGUGGUAGGAAUUUGGAAGCCGCAAAAUACGCACGAGCCAUUGCAGCAAAGGCUGGGUUUGGUUGAAGGCCCCUGAUGAAGUUAUUAACUGUUUGAUGGUCAGAUGCAGGAGAUCAAUAGGGAACAAGUAUACAAUCAUCUCAAGAGAACAAUAUCUUGUUGUCUAAAAUAAUGCAAGGAAGUUCCAUUGAUUACGCAAAUUGGAAAAGGAAUUAGAAAGUUAUAACUAGAAAGACAAGCAUCUAAAGGGUUUACACCAUCCUGUGUUGACCUGGCAAGUAAGAAAAUGCAGUAGUUGCCUCAAUGACUUGCAUAUAAGAGCAAGAAUAAAGAUGACACCAGAGGCAACAUGGUCGGAUUCUUCGCUUGCUUCUAAGACCGAGAGGUGUUUGUUUGGGUUAAGAAACAUCUUGCAUGGAGAAUGCCCCUAAGGCAAAGCACUGGAUCCCAAACUUCCCAGCAUUCGAAGAACCCAUGAGGAAGCAAACUUCAAAUACUUGCCAACCAAUUGGUCGGCAACGGAUUCAUGCGUUUAAAUCUCAAGAGGAGAUCAAAAUGGAUAUAUCAAAAGAUAUUUCAAAAGGAAUCAUCUAAAGAGAGAGGGAAAAAAAAGGGGGAUUUUUGAGCAUUUUUUUUUCCAUGACUUUAUUAGAGGUUAAAUUUCAUCUAUUUUGCGCAUGCAUCAAGCAGAAACUGCUCAAAAAAUAAAAACACUCGAGGGCUCUAGUUCAUAGUAGCCUAUAAUUGAGGGGGUUUCUCCAUGCAUUUUACCGAAGAGAAGCAUUGGCAUAUAGUACAAGUAAAAGAACUCUAAUGCAGCUCAAAUAGUUCAAACAAACAUGGAAUUAAAAAGGAGAAAAAAAAAAAACGAGAUGAAGAAUCGGGGAAAAGCUUCGAUCUUUGGCAUUUACUACCUGAGCGGAGCCGCGGCGCACCGCAACGCGGCGGAGUACUGCGUUUGGAGGGCCCAUUUGGGGCUCGGAGAGAAGAGAGGGGAAGCGCUCUUCGAAGGGGAAUAGCGUCGAACACAUGGUGGGCGUUUGGGUAAUAGCAGUGGGAGAGAGGCGGGGGGGCUACGACUACUCCUAGGGCUCCUCCUCUCAUCGCAUCGCCUCUCUCUCUCUCUCUCUCUCUCUAUAAGCGCACGCUUUGUUGACCCCCGUUUAGUAAACGAAGGAACGGGGCACCGACUCUCAUGAGGAGCGAGGCGUAGGAGGGCAAAAAGGAAAGCUCGCGUCUUGACCGUUUGAUCUCGAUCGGACGGGUACGGUUCCUUGGUGCACCGGGUCAAAUUUAUGUUUUGGUGUUAUAAAAGGGAGGAUGUUGGCUCGAAAUAAAAUAAAGUUGAGGGGGCCAUCGUACAUUUUCAUUAUUCGUUCCAUAAUCUCAAGCGUCCUCAAUUUAGCUGAGGAGUUGAUCGGGAGACAAAGCGCGAGAAAGAGAGAGAGAGAGAGAGAGAGAGGGAGAGAGAUGGAGAACGGGUACCAUGAAAUCCCCGAGAACGCAAACGAGCGUAUGUUUUCCCUCCUCUUUUUAGCUAUGCAAUUAGCUUGGGUUUUCGGAGAUUUCCUUCUUCUUCUUCUUCUUCUUCUUCUUCUUCUGGGUUUUAAUCAUUUGUGGUUUUUGUAAUCUUAUUGAGUGGUUUUGUUUUCCGUUCUUUGUUUUAGAUUGUCCGGGGCCUCAGUCGGAGGCAGCGGGGAAAUCGGAUGAGUGCGCCGGGUGCCCUAAUCAGCAGAUAUGCGCCACUGCUCCAAAAGGCCCUGAUCCUGGUAACCAAAUCUUUUUUUUCGAAAAAAAAAAUCAUAUCUAUUUGAUAUUAGAGUUCGAGUUAUUCGAAUCCUGCAAAAAGAUGUUUUGUUUGAUCAGUUUGGUGGUGAAAAUUGUUGUAGUUGAGUUUUUGUCCUUAAAAAGUUGUUUUUUUAAUUUUUUUUUUUUUGUUUUUUUUGUUAUAGAGAGAGAAUCCAAUCGGUAUUUGGCUAUUGAUUGUUCAUAUUUUGGGGUCUAAUUUAUUCUAAGGAUGGUUUUUAUGGUAGAUUAGAGACGAAUAUAAAAGCUUAAUUGUUUACUGGGAAGUUUGUAAGAUAUUUAUGAACUGAAUUCUUUGAACUUGAUUGGUGGUGACUUUGAAUUUGCUGUUGUGCAAGGACUUUAGGGGUUUAUAGAAAAGAAUUUGAUUGCUUUGGUAUUAAAAAUCCUUUGGUAAUUUUAGUUAUCUCCCUACAAGUUGCCUGUUUGACUUGUUUUUGUUAGAGAGAGAGAGACAGAGAAUUCAAUUUCCCUUUUGCCAUUGAAUGUUUGUGUUGAUUAUUUUAUGGAUAGCUCCCAUGGCAGAUAAGAGAAAACUAUAUAACUUUAAAUGCUUCCUGGGAGGACCUAAGAUAUGUAUGUUUAGGAACUAAAUUCUUUGAGCUUAAAAAAGCUGAUGACUUUCGAUCUGUUGCUGUGCUAGGACUUUAGGGCUUUCUAGAAAAGAAUCCAGAAUCUAUAUAUUUUUGGAUGAAGUAUUUGAAUUUGUAACAGAAAAUUCAAGUGCAUAUAAUGCCUCUCAAUUUCUUUGCUCUCUGGACUGAUUGUUGAGGUAUUUUUGUCCGAAUGCUCUGUUGGGUAAGAAGACCAAGAGGUCUUGUUUUGGUUCACUGAAGAGCUAAUCAUGAUGAUACUGUGGAUAUAUGUAGAAACUCGAUGAUGAGCUUACUUUGACGAACAAGUUAAUCAUCUAGCUAUUUGAAUAGCGGAGUUAAUUGAGCCCAUAUGUGUUAUUAUGAAUAAUGCUUUUGCCAGUGAGUUCAUGGUAAUCAGUGAUGCAACCUGCAUGUUUUAAAACUAUUUGUAGCUUGCAUAUUUGCAUCCAGUAAUUUGAGUCCAUGUGUCUCAAAGGCAAGUUUCCUGUUAUUUCUGAUGCAUUCUAAAUAGUUUCCCUUCCUCUUCUCUAAUAUUGUUCUCCCUGUUGUUAAUCUCAUUGUUGCUGACAUUUUUGCAUCAAGUAACUUGAGUUCAUGUGUCUAAAAGUCUAGUUUGCUGUCGUUACUGAUGCAUUUUAGAAGGUGGCCCUUCCCCUUCUCUCUCUCUCUCUCUCUCUCAGAUUGCCAUAUAGUACGGUAUGUUUCCUUUUCCUAGGAGUUAACUGGCUCACCCAGCAUUAUUAAUUAUCUUUGUUUGCAAUUUACUUUUUAGGGCUGUCUUAUUGGUUUAUUUGAUUUUAACUUUUCUAUCAGUUUAUAGGAUUUAUCAGGGAUCAUAACUCACAACAGUAGUAAAGUUAUUGUGCAGUAAUUAAGGCAGAAGACUCAAACUGGAAUAUUGGGGAUAGAAAGCGAAUAAUAGUAUUGCCUUCAUGUAUCCUAGCGUAUUAAUAGAUAGUUGCUGUCUCACAAAAGAUAGAUGAAGUGUGAGAAAUGUUUUACACCUUGGCAUAUGGAUGAAUACUUGUGUUUGAACCUCAAUUUGGCCGGAGGCCUUGAAUUCCCUUUUUAAUACGAGAGCAAUUUUUUAAAAUCUUAGUGUUGCAAAGGAUUGUUGUUUGGUUUGAUAAUUUUGUCUGAUGCUUUUGUGACCGACAUUUCUGUUAGCCAAAUGUAGAGUGAAUACAUUGAAUGAUCUGAUGAUUAGACUAAGAACUGUUGCUAAGUUCGUUCCUUUAUGGGAGAAGGUGAGCAUUAGGUUAUUCCCUAGAAUUUUGUCUGAGGAUCUGGAAAACUUGAAUCUUUCCCGAUGAAACUAAAUCUUUAAACCAGAGGGGACCUUAUGUAUGAGGCAAGGAUUUAAGUGCCGUGGCACGGGGUUGUGCCGGAAACUUGCCGGCACGGUACGGCACGGUGCGUGCCGAGCCGUACCGAUGCGUGCCGGUCAAAAAAAUUCUUGUGUGCUGAUAUAUAAUAGCAUGAAAUAUUUAUUUUCUUUAGCAACAAAAUAUUCUAACUAUUUAUUAUGUCUUUUUAUUACAUCUUUUAAACUUUAUUGAGAAAAUUACUUACUAAUUUAAAGAAUAGAGGGCUUUGAGCUGUGCCAUCCGCACGGGGUCUGUAUCGUGCUGGUAUCUUGUUGGCACGGUACGGCACGGUGGAUACGGCCCGUGCCGACGGACACUUAAAACCUUGGUAUGAGGUAUUAGAUGGAAUAUUUCAGGUGUGAUAUGUGUCUAUACGUGGGUCUGGGCUAUAUCAUGCAAUAUUCUAUUAUAGUUAGCCUCAAAUCUUUAUUGAUCUAAAUCAAGCAUAUACUGCUUCUUGAACAUGUGGAGUAGCUCCAUGUUUCAGUUGCGAGGCAUAUUGGAGUACAGAAAGGAACAGUUUCACAUCUAUUUUUCUGCUAUUUUUCAAUGCAUGAGGCCUAUGUGUUGCUUAAGAAACACUUCCCUUGAUUCCGCAUCGGCAGAACUGAGAAAACAUCUGGUCUUUCUUUUUAGCUUGUAUGCUCACUACGUAACUAGUAUUCUUAUCUGUGCAUCAAAUUAUAGCACCUAUACUGCCUGUGACAUAGAAUUUGUGUUAAAUGUUCUAAUUUUCCUUGAAAUGCUAUCUCCUUUAUUCUUUAAAAUUACUACAAGCUGCAAUGCUAUGGUCAUAUUUUGAUUGAAUUUUUUUGACUUUUGAUAUAGACUUGGUCGCGAUAGUGGAGCGAAUGGCUACCGUGAAGCACAAGAUACUGGUGCUAUCUGGCAAGGGUGGGGUUGGCAAGAGCACAUUCUCGGCCCAGCUCUCCUUUGCCCUCGCCGACACGGACUACCAGGUCGGCUUGCUCGACAUCGACAUAUGUGGUCCCAGCAUCCCCAAGAUGCUAGGACUCGAGGGCCAGGACAUCCACCAGAGCAACCUCGGCUGGUCCCCGGUCUACGUUGAGUCGAACCUCGGUGUCAUGUCCAUCGGGUUCAUGCUCCCUCACCCUGACGAGGCCGUCAUCUGGAGGGGCCCACGCAAAAAUGGGCUCAUCAAGCAGUUCUUGAAGGAUGUUGACUGGGGCGAGCUUGACUAUCUGGUCGUCGAUGCCCCUCCCGGCACCUCUGAUGAGCACAUCUCGAUCGUACAGUUCCUACAGGCAACAGGGAUAGACGGUGCGAUCAUCGUGACCACUCCGCAACAGGUGUCCUUGAUCGAUGUGCGUAAGGAGAUAAGCUUUUGCAAGAAAGUUGGCAUCAAGGUUCUGGGUGUCGUGGAAAAUAUGAGUGGAUUAAAGCAGCCACUUUCUGACCUUAGGUUUGUGAAAUUAGGUGAGGGUGGAGGUGAGAGCGAUGCAACCGAGUGGGCGUUGAAUUAUAUCAAGUCGAAUGCACCGGAGCUACUAAAUCUUGUUGCUUGUAGUGAGGUAUUUGACAGCAGUCAAGGGGGAGCCGAGAAGAUGUGUGGGGAAAUGGCCGUCCCAUUUCUUGGAAAAGUGCCGAUGGAUCCGCAGCUUUGCCGAGCAGCCGAGGAAGGGAGGUCGUGUUUCGCGGAUCAAAAGUGCAGUGUGAGCGCGCCGGCACUGAAAAACAUCAUAGAGAAGCUUCUUCACUCACAGUGAAUCAUGAAUACUGAGAACGUUUGAGCCUGUUUUACCUCUUUAUCUUUUUUAUUAUUUUCCUCUUUAAAUCAUGUUGCUUGUGUGAGAAAGUUUUGUAGAUGUUAUACAUUUUGGUUCUGUGUGAUGGAUGAACUAGUUGCAGGGGAAUGAAAAUCACAAUCCGCAUUUCUGUACUCGUGCGUCACUGUAGAGCUCUUGUUAUUCUCCUAACUUAGUAUUGUGGAUCUAAGUUGUAUAGAUUAUUAGUGUACUCAUGUGGGGUUUAACAGAGAUAGCACAAUCAGUUACUGUUUGUGAACUGAUCCCAGUGCUUGCAAAUUCAGCUAUGGAAAGUGCUUAUGCUCGUGGAUACAGUCUCUUCCAAAAGUAUCAUAUGAUUGCGCAACUAAGCUGGAAACCAAACAGAGAAACUUGCCACUCCAAUAAUAUCUAUUUGUAUACUCACUGGGGCCGAUAGAACUAUUGAAGUGGAUUUUCCUCUCUUAUAUAGCCUGGUCUUUUCUUUCAGCUGUUUCAGAUUGGAGUUCGAAAUAAUCUUCGAUCUGAUGUAUGGUAACUAGAGUUUACAAUUUGCAGUCGAAAUCACUUCUCAUUGUUGUCUUAGUUGGUUUAGAUCCAUUCAAGAUAAACCCGGCAAAACAGAUGAUGAGUACAACAUGCUAAGUAAUAGUCCCAUCAAAAAUAGGAGUGGGUCUACCAUAUGCUUGGAGACUUGGUCUCAGAAUCCCGUCUUGUACUUUAAUUAACUCAUGAAUAAGCUACAUAGUUUUUCUUUAAAAGGAAAAAAAAAGAACUUGAAAUAUUUACUAGUUUACGCAAUAUUCUUUUGGAUAUGUAUAUAUAUAUAUAUAUAUAUAUAUAUAUAUAUAUAUGUAACUGCAGUGUUCUUUAGCAUGUUUAUGCACACAUACACACACACACCAGAGGGAGGGAGGGAAAAGGAAAUAAAUAAAUAGAAUAUCUAGUUGAAGCCCACAGAGAUACAGGAGAGAAAAGCUGAUCUAAUCUGGAAAGAAAAUGUAGCAGGUCAGAUAGAUGAAGUAGCACAAACAAUGCAAGCCAAGAGAAGCAUAGCAGAAGAUGCUGCAUCUUCUUCCUCACUGAAGCAACUCCUCUUGAAUUUGCAUGCCUUGCCUUUGUUGCAUGGAAGCCUCACCAGCUCUUGCUUCGCAUCUUUUCCUGCUCUCACCUCACCCUCAAGCUGCUGCUUCUUCUUCUUCUUCAUAGAGUCUUGCCUUCUAAGAUUGGACUCCGAUGGCUUGUAAACCAUUCUCUCCUUUUCCUUUCAGGUUACACAACCAGAGAGAGGUAGUUUGCUUGUGCACAGGAAACAAGACCAUUUGGUGUCCUUUUUAUAGAGAACAGAUGGUAACAAGAUGCCAUAUUAAAACCAUUUCAUUAAUUGCCCCUUGUUCUUCAUGGAACUACAAAUCCCCUCACCAGUAAUUUAAAUGCCAUGUGUAGCCAAAGCUGAUAGGUCAAAUCACACUGAUCAUUUUGAUUGGAAAUUUUGUCUUUAACUGUUUGGCAUCUGAGUCCAUGAAAAUUGGCCAGGAUGUUGGUUUCGGUGCACAACCCAAUUCUUAAACCAUUU
rnacentral:lncRNA from 1 species